CUGCAAGCUCGGCCUUCCGGGUUUAUGCCAUUCUCCUGCCUCAGCCUCCUGAGUAGCUGGGACUACAGGCGCCCACCACCACACCUGGCUAAUUUUUUGUAUUUUUAGCAGAGAAGGGGUUUCACUGCAUUAGCCAGGAUGAUCUCGAUCUCCUGACCUCAAGUGAUCCGCCCGCCUCGGCCUCCCAAAGUGCUGGGAUUACAGGCGUGAGCCACCGCGCCCGGCCAAUUUCUAAGGCUCCAUUAGGGCUAAGGUUCAUGUAUCCAUGGUGAAGUAUAGAAGAACUCAGAAUCGUUCCAAACAUAAUGGGCUUGGAGUAAUGGAGAACUCCAAGGGCAGGAGGUAACCAUUAAAGAGGACCAUCAUGUAGUGUGAGGAGUCAACAUUUCACACUAGAAAGCCCUUGGUUCAAGUUUUGUCUCUGCCACCUACAGAUUUUGUAACCCUGAGGAAACUAGCUACCUCUUUAUGUACUGCCCUAUGGAGAGGCACACAUGUCAAGAAACUGAGGGAGUGCCUUCCAGUCAACAGCCAGCCAGGAACUAAGGUGCUCAGUACAGCAGCCUCCACAAAGGACUGAACAAUGCCAACAGCUAUUUGACUGUGCUUGGAAGAUCUCCGUUUAGUUAACCCUUCAGAUGAGACCGCAGCCCUGGCCAGCAAACAAAUUGCAGCCUAUGGAAAGACCUUAAGGCAGAAGCACCCAACUGAACCACCCGAGGGCUCUGACUUACAGAAACUGUGAGCAUAUAGUGAAAUGGCCUCUACCUUAUUUUGAAUGGAUUUCUGGGAUAAAGUUCUUCAGUGAUAACAUGUUUGAAGUUUCAGGAAAGAGGCACUGGCCUUUACUUCUCCACCUCGAUUCACUUCCAUGCUGUUGACAAAUGUUAUAGUUGCCCAGGAUCAGAGGGAGAGACUGACCCUGUGACCAUUUCCCCAAAGGCGGCCUUUGGCCACUCCGUGCACUGGAGCACAUGACCCUCUGCCUCGCCCCUGCCACAUUAACCAGGCGGCUAUCUUAUGUGCCCAUGUUACAUGCUCAUGAUAAAGCUGCAUUUCCUGAGGGGACACCAAUGGAUACACCUCUGCCUGGCACGCAGCUUAGAGGCUAAAUGUAUGAAAAGCAACACCAUGCAAAUCAUUUUGAAACUGCUGUGGAACUCUCACGGGACCCUCCAUUCUAGACAUCCAGUCCCACUAGUGAUCUGACCAUGAAACCUACUAAGAGACUUCCAGAAGAAGAUGACCUCUGAAAGGAGAAAACUUUCUUCCAAGCUUCUGUGGAACAAGAAGAUGCCAUCCCUUUGGUGGAGCCCAAAGGGAAACCAGGACACUGAAGGAAUUAACCAGAAAGAAAAGAAGAGAAGAAGGAGAAGAAAGAAGAAGAAGAAGAAGGAGAAGGAGAAGGAGACGAGGGAAGAGGGAGAAGAGAGAGAAGAGGGAGGAAAAGAAGAAGAAGAAGAAGAAGAAGAAGAGGAAGAAGGGGAGGAAGGAGAAAGGAGGAAGGAGGAGGAGGAGAAGAAGAAGAGGAGGAGGAAGAAGAAAAUUGAGAUCAUUUGUACAAAUCUUGAAACCAAAGCACAGCCUGUAUGAACCCAUGUUGAACCCUGGACUUUCAGGACUACUGUAUGGCUAACCACAGCCCUGCAAGGCCAGGCUCAGCAUGUCACAGUUUUGCCACUGAACAAGAAUCUUUCGAAGGAUCGCAAAUACUACAUGGAAAAUGACUGUAUUCUUUCUGCAAGGCCACUCUCUUAGACAUCACCCUAACAAAAACAAUUACGGGUUGGAAGAGGAGAAAGGAUGCAAAGUUUGUGCCUUGACCUAAAAAAGGUCAUGAGCACCUCUACCGGUUCUUGGAAACAUUAGUUGCAGUGGAUCUCAAAUUCUAUUGCGCAAAAGAACGACCUGGUGACCCUCUAAAAGUGUAGAUUCUCUGGUUUCACCCCUAGACCUUGUGACUCACAUGUCCAGUGAGGCCAGGAACUCCUCACUGUUAACCUGUGCCCUAUUUUAACAAGCCCUGCUGGGAGUCGGGAUGUUGGGGGUCCCCACACCACACUGAAAUAGAGGAAUUCCCUGCUCAAAGAUCCCGUUAUGUCCUGAUUACAAUCUGCAAUGAGAUUAUGAAAUCAUUAAAUCAUGAUUAAGCCAA
rnacentral:lncRNA from 1 species